rnacentral:lncRNA from 1 species
AUCACGGAAUAUAGAUUGGAUUCUGAAUUUUUUUUUUUACACCGGAACGUUGCCUUCCCGAACGAGUCCUCUCUUACAUGUGCAAUAUCAAACCGUCACCAAUUCGGAGGGCCUUCCAUUCUUACUGAAUUAUCGUCACUACCGGACUGAAUAGUUUCAAUUAAAUUAAACAAUGUUGUCUAGCAAUUUUUCAUACAGUUACGUCUGCUCUAAUGAGUCUAUUAUUAGCCCCCGAAUAAAUGGUAAAUGCUACCUCGGUGACGGUUGAUCGUGUAACCUAGGCCUCCGCUCGUCGUAGCCAUACGGUGUUUUUGAGGUUAUAUGUAAACAAACUGUCAGUCCCCGCUUCGCCGCGUUCGUGUACGUACCGUAUUAGCGUGUUACUUAAUCAGUAAUAGAAGUUUUUACAAGUGCCUUGUGGAUAAUAGUGUUGAUUAUUGGUGCUGUCUACUGACCAUAUAUCUUGUUAGUGGCUGUUUGUGCCCAUGCACUAAGGCCAAAGCACCGUUACAGGGCAAAAAGUAAAAACUAAAAAAAAAAAAAAAAAAAAAAAAAAAAAAAACUAAACAAACUGUAUUUACAUUUAUCUAUCUGUACUUCCUUUCCGAAAAUAUAAUUCUUCCCUCUUCUUGUCGUCUCAAUUUAUCAUUUUUCCUUUCGGAAACAUCAGUUCACGUACCGGCGUGUGUUUGUCUGUUCACUGACUGCCCGUGCAGGAUAAAAUGAAGGAAGUUUUAUCCCUCUGGAAACCACCUUUCAUGUUCAUCGCAAACCAGUUUCACUCAAAUCAAAGUUGCUGUUACAGUUAAUGUCAACAUAAUACAAGCUUCAGUACCCGUACGCCAAUUCGAUUUGCCAGAGAGAUGAAAUUCAACGCCAAGCCUCCUCCUCGCAGCCAUGCAAUAAACAUAUUUACACAACUUUUUGUCACAUCCAGUAAUCAACAUUUGGAACCUGCACGAUUCCUCUCCAGUUUGGAGAGGUCCGAUCGUGCUAAGAAUCAGAAGCCAUGCAGGAGAAAUGAGAAGAAGAAUAUACGACCAUCGUCCAGAAAGCUGCAUUUGAAGCGAGACUGGAAAAAUAGACCAAGAUCGUCUUCGGCUGUAACAACGUGGUAA